CUUCAUCCUGCCUUCUACACAACCUCCAUUUGAUUUUGAUACAUUUUAAAGAAUGAAGUGCAGUGUGAUCAUUUUUGUGCUGUCCGCGGUUGUCCUUGUGGCUCAACCUGGAGAAGGUUUUUUACACCUCCUCCCUGGCAUCAUCAAAGAUGUUGGUCAUGGUAUUAAUGGCCUUGCUCACCUCAUUCAUGGGCCUGGAGACAAUGAAGUACAAGCAGACCAGCAGCAACUGGCCCAGCAGGAAGUGGACCAGCAGGAAAUGGACCAGCAGGACAAAGACCAGCUGCAAAUUCAAAAACGUUCAUUUCAGCAACACAAGGCUUUGCAGCGUCAUUAGGCAUCGA